UCCUCGGUAGCUCAAUGGUAGAGCAAGUGGCUGUUAACCACUAGGUUGCUGGUUCGAAUCCAGCCCGAGGAGCCA
rnacentral:tRNA from 1 species